rnacentral:lncRNA from 1 species
GCUCACAUCUCCUUAAGCAUGGCAGCUUUCCACUUGGAGUCUUCCUUAGCAACCUUCCAGUUCUCGGGUAUGGAGAUAGAGGACAGAGAAGCUAUAAAACUCUGAUAAGAUCGGGAGAGAGACUCAUAGGAUCCAAAGUUAUUUGUACUCCACUCCAUCCUUAAGUCGAGCGGAAAUGCCAGCAUGAUGAGUAGGCUUACGUAAAGCAAUAAGAAUAUUCAGAUCAUCAUUAUCUAAUAUAAAAUGAAUGGGAGACACAAGAGAAUUACCAUUUAUCCUGGAAGGAGACAUAUAAGAUGAAGCCAUUGGGACAGGAGAGGA